rnacentral:rRNA from 1 species
AUUGAACGCUGGCGGAAUGCUUUACACAUGCAAGUCGAGCGGCAGCGCGGGGCAACCUGGCGGCGAGCGGCGAACGGGUGAGUAACAUAUCGGAACGUAUCCUUUAGUGGGGGAUAACGCAGCGAAAGCUGUGCUAAUACCGCAUACGAUCGGGAGAUGAAAGCGGGGGAUCGCAAGACCUCGCGCUAAAGGAGUGCCCGAUAUCAGAUUAGCUAGUUGGUGAGGUAAAGGCUCACCAAGGCGACGAUCUGUAGCUGGUCUGAGAGGAUGAUCAGCCACACUGGAACUGAGACACGGUCCAGACUCCUACGGGAGGCAGCAGUGGGGAAUUUUGGACAAUGGGGGCAACCCUGAUCCAGCCAUUCCGCGUGAGUGAAGAAGGCCUUCGGGUUGUAAAGCUCUUUUGUCGGGGACGAAACGGUUACGACGAAUACUCGUGACAACUGACGGUACC